rnacentral:rRNA from 1 species
GAUGAACGCUGGCGGCGUGCCUAAUACAUGCAAGUCGAGCGAACGGACGAGAAGCUUGCUUCUCUGAUGUUAGCGGCGGACGGGUGAGUAACACGUGGAUAACCUACCUAUAAGACUGGGAUAACUUCGGGAAACCGGAGCUAAUACCGGAUAAUAUUUUGAACCGCAUGGUUCAAAAGUGAAAGACGGUCUUGCUGUCACUUAUAGAUGGAUCCGCGCUGCAUUAGCUAGUUGGUAAGGUAACGGCUUACCAAGGCAACGAUGCAUAGCCGACCUGAGAGGGUGAUCGGCCACACUGGAACUGAGACACGGUCCAGACUCCUACGGGAGGCAGCAGUAGGGAAUCUUCCGCAAUGGGCGAAAGCCUGACGGAGCAACGCCGCGUGAGUGAUGAAGGUCUUCGGAUCGUAAAACUCUGUUAUUAGGGAAGAACAUAUGUGUAAGUAACUGUGCACAUCUUGACGGUACCUAAUCAGAAAGCCACGGCUAACUACGUGCCAGCAGCCGCGGUAAUACGUAGGUGGCAAGCGUUAUCCGGAAUUAUUGGGCGUAAAGCGCGCGUAGGCGGUUUUUUAAGUCUGAUGUGAAAGCCCACGGCUCAACCGUGGAGGGUCAUUGGAAACUGGAAAACUUGAGUGCAGAAGAGGAAAGUGGAAUUCCAUGUGUAGCGGUGAAAUGCGCAGAGAUAUGGAGGAACACCAGUGGCGAAGGCGACUUUCUGGUCUGUAACUGACGCUGAUGUGCGAAAGCGUGGGGAUCAAACAGGAUUAGAUACCCUGGUAGUCCACGCCGUAAACGAUGAGUGCUAAGUGUUAGGGGGUUUCCGCCCCUUAGUGCUGCAGCUAACGCAUUAAGCACUCCGCCUGGGGAGUACGACCGCAAGGUUGAAACUCAAAGGAAUUGACGGGGACCCGCACAAGCGGUGGAGCAUGUGGUUUAAUUCGAAGCAACGCGAAGAACCUUACCAAAUCUUGACAUCCUUUGACAACUCUAGAGAUAGAGCCUUCCCCUUCGGGGGACAAAGUGACAGGUGGUGCAUGGUUGUCGUCAGCUUGUGUCGUGAGAUGUUGGGUUAAGUCCCGCAACGAGCGCAACCCUUAAGCUUAGUUGCCAUCAUUAAGUUGGGCACUCUAAGUUGACUGCCGGUGACAAACCGGAGGAAGGUGGGGAUGACGUCAAAUCAUCAUGCCCCUUAUGAUUUGGGCUACACACGUGCUACAAUGGACAAUACAAAGGGCAGCGAAACCGCGAGGUCAAGCAAAUCCCAUAAAGUUGUUCUCAGUUCGGAUUGUAGUCUGCAACUCGACUACAUGAAGCUGGAAUCGCUAGUAAUCGUAGAUCAGCAUGCUACGGUGAAUACGUUCCCGGGUCU